rnacentral:snRNA from 1 species
AUGCUCACUUCCACAGCACAUAUAUUAAAACUGGAAUGAUACAGAGAAGAUUAGCAUGGCCCUGUGUAAGAAUAACACUCAAAUUUGUGAUGCAUAUCAUACUUUU